CCUACGGGUGGCAGCAGUGGGGGAUAUUGGACAAUGGGGGAAACCCUGAUCCAGCGAUGCCGCGUGAGGGAAGCAGGUUUUCGGAUUGUAAACCUCUGUGGAGGGGGACGAUAAUGACGGUACCCCUUUAGGAAGCCACGGCUAACUACGUGCCAGCAGCCGCGGUAAUACGUAGGUGGCGAGCGUUAUCCGGAUUUAUUGGGUGUAAAGGGCGUGUAGGCGGGAAUGCAAGUCAGAUGUGAAAACUAUGGGCUCAACCCAUAGCCUGCAGUUGAAACUGUAUUUCUUGAGUGCUGGAGAGGAAAUCGGAAGUCCGUGUGUAGCGGUGAAAUGCGUAGAUAUACGGAGGAACACCAGUGGCGAAGGCGGAUUGCUGGACAGUAACUGACGCGGAGGCGCGAAAGCGUGGGGAGCAAACAGGAUUAGAUACCCUGGUAGUC
rnacentral:rRNA from 1 species